UACGUAGGGGGCAAGCGUUGUCCGGAAUCAUUGGGCGUAAAGAGCGUGUAGGCGGCCCGAUAAGUCCGCUGUGAAAGUCCAGGGCUCAACCCUGGAAUGCCGGUGGAUACUGUCGGGCUCGAAUCCGGAAGAGGUGAGUGGAAUUCCUGGUGUAGCGGUGAAAUGCGCAGAUAUCGGGAAGAACACCCGUGGCGAAGGCGGCUCUCUGGGACGGUACUGACGCUGAGACGCGAAAGCGUGGGGAGCGAACAGG
rnacentral:rRNA from 1 species